rnacentral:rRNA from 1 species
UGAGCAAUCUGCCCUUCUCAUCGGAAUAAGCGUUGGAAACGACGUCUAAUGCCGAAUACGACCUCCUUUCGCAUGAUCGGAGGUGGAAAGCUCCGGCGGAGAAGGAUGAGCUCGCGGCCUAUCAGCUAGUUGGUGUGGGUAAUGGCCCACCAAGGCGACGACGGGUAGCCGGCCUGAGGAGGGUGACCCGGCCACACUGGGACUGAGACACGGCCCAGACCUCCGUACGGGAGCAG